UACGCAGUGUUUUCCAAAGUUGUUAACAACUUAACUGGCCGGGAUCGCUAUUCCGGAAAUUCCUAACCGGGGAACAAAAUGUUGUCGUACAACGCGCAGUCUAAGUUAACCCGGAGGAAUUAUUUGAGCGGAACGGAAAUCAGAUCAGUAGAUGUGGUGUUCAUGUGCAGACAAACAAAUGACAAAAAUUAAAAAGAAAACCUGGAUGAUUUAUUGAAGAGAAAGAGCUCCACAAACUGAACAAGUCAAUAAGAUGUUGCUUCAACUCUUGCUCUAGACUCUUUGAGAUUGGUCACGUCCUAACGUAUACUCUGACGCUGUCUUGUGUUUUGUAUCUCGGAUGCUACCUUCAUACAACAAAGAUUAUCGCUGGCAUACAGGAUAACACGUGCGCCGUCGUUUGUUGUUUACAAGUGGACGGAACGAGAGCUGGUACUUUAAUCGCUCUAUAGCGAUUUUUGGAAGCAUUCACGAUGUAUUUAAUGUAUUAUUUUGACGGAAAUGGUGACAGAGUGUAUACUCUGAAGAAAGUCGAUCCGAAGGGCAGACCCACGGCAUCAGCUCAUCCUGCUCGAUUUUCACCAGAGGAUAAAUACUCCCGAGAGAGAAUAAUGACAAAGAGAAGAUUUUAUUUGCUUCCAACGCAACAGCCGCAGUACGCCUGCUGAUGACGCAGUCGAGUGAGGUGAAAAGGAAUGCAAACAGUGGAACACUGGUUUAUUUUGUUCGUGUUUUUGUAGUGAAUUUGUGUAAUGUUUGUUAAUUGAACAUAACGUGCUAGUGAGAAAUUGCGAACAUAUUAAAGGACUCCAUGUAGUAGUUCCAUGCUAAAAUUAUAUCGUGCUCUAAUUGAAAUAAAUUGAUGUUAUAAGGA